rnacentral:lncRNA from 1 species
GGGUAAUGAGAAGUUCCCCGUUAACUUGAGAGGAUACCAACAUUUAAAGUUAUGCCUUUGCCAGAGAGGCCAAACAGUCCAUUUCAAGCCUUUGUAUGGAAAAAAAACCAAAACAAAAACCCCACCACAAACCUCUGAUAUGCAACAUACUCCAGGUCUGAAGCAAGGCAUGAUAGCAGCCUUCAGAGCUAUGAGAAGCAACGGAAGAGAAAGUCUCUCUCAAGCACAUGCAAGUCUAGGAUGGACUCUGACCAGGCAUCAUGUAAGACAGGUACAGGGAUUAAGUAUGCUCUCUGGAGGUAGAUUCUUUGGAGGAUAAAGCUGCCAGCUCCAACAAAC